UCGGACCUGGCCCCCCGGGAAGCGUCGGAAGCAGGCCCUGGCGCCUCGGCCACCGGCGACGGACCCAGACAUGACUACUAGAUAGCUGCGAGGGGGAGUGGGACCCCGCUGUCUGCUGCGGGGCGCCCGAGGCCGGGAGAGGACGUCGACGAGACUUAACUCAGUUACCGCGGAGGAAUACUGUGAAUUGCAGUGGCAUCAGUGACCGGGAGAAAUUGGAAUUUAAGUGUGUUGUUUUGGGCAUCAUUACGCUGAGGCUCUUAGAAAGACUGGUGUAGGGGAAUGGACGUAAACCCGCGGAAAGCGCUGUUGAUUGCCGGCAUCCCCCAGACCUGUAAAGGGCAGAAAUUCAGGAGGCUCUGCGAUCUGGUUUAGCUCCCUUGAGCGAGUACCGACUGCUCGGGAGGAUGUUCCGGAGGGAAGAGGACAGGAAUGCAGCCUUAAUAGGACUUACUGAGGAGACGAGUCAUGCUCUGGUCCCUAAAGAGAUACCCGGAAGCGGGGGUGCCUGGAGAGUGAUCUUUAAGACCCCUGACUCAGACAGUGAAUUUUUAAGCAGGUUACAUGAAUUCCUAGAGGGAGAGGGCGUGAUAUUGGGUGAGUUUACCAGAGCUCUUGGGUAUGGAAACGGCCUUUUUGACCUAGACCAGGACAUGAUCCCAGAAGUGCGGGCCCCCAUGUUGGCACAGGCAUUAGAUGAGGCUCUUCAGCUUGCCCUGCAACACCUGAAAUACAAAAAGCUGAGCGUAUUCUCAGGCAGUGAUCCUCCAGAGCCAGAAGAAGAAGAGUUUGAAUCCUAGCUGUUUCAUGCCACGCAAAUGAUGAAGACACGGCAGGUGUCAGAUGCCGAAAAAAGAAGGCGAUUGCUAGAGAGCCUUAGAGGCCCGGCAUCUGAUAUCAUUCGUGUCCUCAAGAUAAACAGCCCU